rfam:Felis catus isolate Cinnamon breed Abyssinian chromosome C1, whole genome shotgun sequence.
GCCUGGGUAGCUCAGUUGGUUGAGCAUCUGACUGCAGCUCAGGUCAUGUUAUCACAGUUUAUGGGUUCAAGCCCCAUGUUGGGCU